rnacentral:tRNA from 1 species
CCCUUAGCCUUCCAAGCUAACGAUGCG